AAUUAGCUCCUACGCACGAGCGCGCGCCAGCUGGUAGACGCGCAUGCGCAAAUGCGCGCAUUUGUUUACAUAAUAUUAUCAAAGAUGACUCAUUUAUUGCCUAUUUUGAACGGAUGUUCCCACGCCGCCCUCAUCCAAAUCAAUGUUGCAACCACGUGACUCGCAAUCAGAUGCUCUCGAUUCCCAAUUCCCACUAUGGGGAAAACAAACUUUUGUAUUUUAAUACUUUGUUUUGGCAACUAUAAAUACCCUUAUUUUUCAUUAAUUACAUAAAUAAAUUUUUUGGUAAAAUAGCCCUUUUUAAAAUAACCAUGGCAACAAAGAAACAGUUUUUUGCAUUUAGGGAAUGAAUGACUUCGAAAGAGACUGACCCAUGACGUCAUUUCAUACGUAACGAUAGAAAUCCUACUUUUUAUUACUGGUAGCUACCACCGCUGGAAAUCCAUGUUAAAUCAUGAAGUUGAAACAAGGCAAAGCCGCAGUCAACCUCGGGCUCAAGCAUCAUCCAAUCGUUCGCAGACAACACUCUGACAGACAUUUCUUCAUAAGUUAGCAGGAAUAAAAGAUCGAUGCGACCAAGCGAUUUACAGGCUGGUCCUGCUGGAAUGCCUCAAGCUGGCCUUCAAGAAACCCACAUGUGUUGAUGGCAACAUGACAGCGACCAAAGAGAGUGAAAAGAUUGCGGUACGUAGCUGCAACCCGUUCUGCUUCCCUGAUGAGUGGCUCACUGUCUGGACACAGCUGUUUCAUUGUAUCAGCUACUCUUGUCAUUCUUGGAGAAGUUGGACCGGUUGAGAAGCAGCUUCCUCAGGAUAAAGGAGAAUGAAGCAUGAUAGCUGCUCCAUCAAAUCCUUGCGCUCCUCUUCCUUCUCUGCCAGCAUAGCCUCCAGUCGAUGUCGCUCCACCAUGUUGAUCAUGUUCUUCGAUAGGUUGCUUGGGGCGUCCUGGGGAGCGAGGUACGCCACAGUCUGGAUGUCUAGCUGGUGGCAUGCCUUCUCCAUACUGUUAAAGUGCUUCAAAAACAACCCGAGACUGAUGUGUAGGCCAGGGGGGCAUACCUGCAAGAAAAGAAAGAGAUUUUAGAAAGCCUCUGCCUGCAGGAUACUAUCAAUCAUUAUCUUCAAAUAUAUAAGCUUAGCCGAAGCAUGGACCUCAUGUUGACCAUGUCUAUGUCGUUGAUUUUGACGCUGGAGGAUGGGUCAUCCAGAGCCCCUGCCUUGUGAGCCCUGGAGACUUCGUGC